UUUCUACAGUCGGUCAGACUCAGACGACCAUAUAGGGCGUCUACUCUCCCCCACUCUGUUUCAUGUUCCUGCUCGGGCAUUAAAACAAACAUCUUGCAUGCACGUAGACAGCACAGCCAACCGGCGCCAUAGCGGGUCUUGGACUUAUUUACAGAGUAUAGGAAAAAUCAAGAACCUCCAAAAACCAUCCGUUAGAGCGGUUUUAGAAAAACAGGAAUGAAGUACGUAUUAGUUACCGGCGGUGUCGUCAGUGGGCUGGGCAAGGGCGUAACUGCUAGCAGUAUCGGCGUCGUUCUUAAAGCUUGCGGCCUUCGCGUCACUUCCAUUAAGAUCGAUCCAUACUUGAAUACUGAUGCCGGUACCAUGUCUCCUUUUGAACAUGGGGAAGUUUUUGUUCUGGAUGAUGGAGGAGAGGUUGAUCUAGAUUUGGGGAAUUAUGAAAGAUUUUUGGAUGUGACGCUUACAAGAGACAACAACAUUACCACCGGGAAGAUAUAUCAGUCUGUCCUUGAAAAGGAACGGAAAGGAGAUUACCUUGGGAAGACAGUUCAGGUUGUUCCACAUGUCACUGAUGCAAUUAGGAAUUGGAUUGAAACAGUUUCUGUCAUUCCUGUGGAUGGGAAGGAGGGGCCUGCUGAUGUUUGUGUCAUUGAAUUGGGAGGCACUGUAGGUGAUAUUGAGUCUAUGCCAUUCAUUGAGGCUUUACGACAGUUAUUCUUCUCUGUUGGACAAGAUAACUUCUGCCUCAUCCAUGUCAGUCUUAUACCUGUUCUUGGGGUUGUGGGUGAGCAAAAAACUAAGCCUACACAACAUAGUGUAAGGGAACUAAGAGCUCUAGGCUUGACACCUCAUUUUUUGGCAUGCCGUUCUGCUGAGCCAUUGUUGGAAAGUACGAAGCUGAAGCUUUCCCAAUUUUGUCACGUAGCUGAUGGUAAUAUACUCAAUAUCCAUGACGUUCCAAAUAUUUGGCACAUUCCUCUUCUGCUUCGGAAUCAAAAUGCUCAUGAUGCCAUUUUGAAACACCUAAAUUUGAGGAGCGUUGCAACACCUCCUGAAUUACAGGAGUGGACCAAGAGGGCUGAGACUUUUGAUAACCUCCAAAAUAGUGUUCGAAUUGCGAUGGUUGGGAAAUAUGUUGGUUUACCAGAUUCUUAUUUAUCUGUAGUUAAGGCUCUUCUGCAUGCCUGCAUUGCUCGUUCACUGAAGCCAUCAGUUGACUGGAUUGCAGCUUCAGAUCUUGAAGAUGAAAGUUCAGAAUCGACACCAGAAGCUCAUACUGCUGCAUGGAGGACUCUAAGAGAGGCAUCAUGUGUCUUAGUACCUGGUGGGUUUGGAGACCGUGGUGUGAGGGGAAUGUUGUUGGCUGCCAAGUAUGCAAGGGAGAAUAAUGUUCCUUAUCUUGGGAUUUGCUUAGGCAUGCAGAUUGCUGUGAUUGAGUUUGCAAGAUCUGUUUUGGGUUUGCAAAGGGCAAACAGUACAGAGUUUGAUGCUGAUACUCAAAAUCCGGUUGUAAUUUUCAUGCCAGAGGGUUCUAAAACACAUAUGGGAAGUACCAUGAGGCUUGGUAGUCGGAGAACAUUGUUACAGACUCCUGAUUGUAUCACUGCAAAGCUGUAUCAUAACUCAGAAUAUGUGGAUGAGCGACAUCGACAUAGAUACGAGGUGAAUCCUGAAGUAGUUGGCAUUUUGGAGGAAGCUGGAUUGAGAUUUGUGGGAAAGGAUGAAAGUGGGAAAAGAAUGGAGUAUUUGGCAUUUUGGAGGAAGCUGGAUUGAGAUUUGUGGGAAAGGUUGCAAGUGGGAAAAAUAUUGAGAUCUUAGAGAAUCCCAGCCAUCCAUUCUAUGUGGGUGUUCAAUUUCAUCCAGAAUUCAAGUCACGACCAGGAAGACCCUCAGCUCUGUUUUUAGGGUUAAUUUUGGCGGCCACCGGGCAAUUGGAAGCAUACCUUACAAAGCAACAGAAUGGAAGCCUAUAGUCAUCAUUUUGGAUUGUUGCUCAACUUUACUAGGUACUUUGCAAUUUUGAGAGGACUUGGGUAAUUAAAGGCCUACGGAGUGCGGCUGGAAAUUGUUAAAACAUUUUUAAAAGUAAGCAGUCGUUCUGACAUUUGCCCAAUUUUACCAAAUGUUAUUAUUUAUUGCAGUAAUUUGCGUAUCAAUUGCAUAUUCAUAGUAAGGGGUUCUUGUUUUGAGAUUGUCGAUCUCUCUUAGACUGAGUGAUCGUGAUGUUUUACCAAUUAGUAUAGGUGAAUUAGCCUUUUAGAUUUGUAGUGAUACACGAGACAAAACAUAGUAAUUGUACAUUUGAGCUUCCACUCC